AGAGACCGGCGCACGGGUGCGUAACGCGUAUGCAAUCUACCUUUCACAAAGGGAUAGCCCAGAGAAAUUUGGAUUAAUACCUUAUAGCAAUACGACUUGGCAUCAAGAUGUAUUUAAAGAUUUAUCGGUGAAAGAUGAGCAUGCGUCCCAUUAGCUAGUUGGUAAGGUAACGGCUUACCAAGGCGACGAUCUUUAGCUGGUCUGAGAGGAUGAUCAGCCACACUGGGACUGAGACACGGCCCAGACUCCUACGGGAGGCAGCAGUGGGGAAUAUUGGACAAUGGGCGAAAGCCUGAUCCAGCAAUGCCGCGUGAGUGAUGAAGGCCUUAGGGUUGUAAAGCUCUUUUACUGGGGAUGAUAAUGACAGUACCCAGAGAAUAAGCUCCGGCUAACUCCGUGCCAGCAGCCGCGGUAAUACGGAGGAUCCAAGCGUUAUCCGGAAUCAUUGGGUUUAAAGGGUCCGUAGGCGGUUUAAUAAGUCAGUGGUGAAAUCUGGUCGCUCAACGAUCAA
rnacentral:rRNA from 1 species